GUAACUCCCAGGGGACAUUAAUAAAUAGGACUGUGAUAAGCACCAUACAUUCCACGGGUAUUCUACUAUUUGAUGCAUGUAAGGCGAUUUCGGGUAGUGGAAGACUUUGGAAUGUAUGUGGUAUUCUUAAAUGGGAACGAACUUAUGGGUUUAAUGAUAAAUACUUAUGUCCCAGUAAAAGAUCUACUGAUCCUGAUUGCCCAAAUAGAGACUAACUUCUGCCCCUAUUGGUCAUGUGUAGGUUGGGCAACCUGGGAAAAACAGUGGAUCAAGAUAUGAUUAUCCAAAGGUUGCCUACCACACCAUACUGUAAAACUAUGUGUGUAACCUCGUUCACAUGACCAUUUCCAAUCUGCAGUACUUUAUUGACAGGUUUGGAGGUCUGUUUGGGUUCCAAAUAUAUGGCACAG
rnacentral:lncRNA from 1 species